GACAGAGGGUGCGAACGUUGUUCGGAAUUACUGGGCGUAAAGCGCGUGUAGGCGGCAGCGCAAGUCGGGCGUGAAAUCCCACGGCUCAACCGUGGAAGUGCACUCGAAACUGCGCAGCUAGAGUCCUGGAGAGGAAGGUGGAAUGCUUGGUGUAGAGGUGAAAUUCGUGAGAUAUCAAGCGGAACACCGGUGGCGAAGGCGAC
rnacentral:rRNA from 1 species